rnacentral:rRNA from 1 species
CUCUGUGACUCCUACGGGAGGCAGCAGUGGGGAAUAUUGCACAAUGGGGGAAACCCUGAUGCAGCCAUGCCGCGUGUGUGAAGAAGGCCUUCGGGUUGUAAAGCACUUUCAGUAGGGAGGAAGGUAGUGUAGUUAACACCUGCAUUAUUUGACGUUACCUACAGAAGAAGCACCGGCUAACUCCGUGCCAGCAGCCGCGGUAAUACGGAGGGUGCGAGCGUUAAUCGGAAUUACUGGGCGUAAAGCGCAUGCAGGCGGCCUGUUAAGUCAGAUGUGAAAGCCCGGGGCUUAACCUCGGAAUUGCAUUUGAAACUGGCAGGCUAGAGUCUUGUAGAGGGGGUAGAAUUUCAGGUGUAGCGGUGAAAUGCGUAGAGAUCUGAAGGAAUACCAGUGGCGAAGGCGGCCCCCUGGACAAAGACUGACGCUCAGAUGCGAAAGCGUGGGGAGCAAACAGGAUUAGAUACCCUUGGAG